AACGAACGCUGGCGGCGUGGAUAAGACAUGCAAGUCGAACGGGACAAGUAGCAAUAUUUGUCUAGUGGCGAACGGGUGCGUAACACGUGGGCAACAUGCCUGGAAGAGCGGGAUAGCCCGGGGAAACUCGGAUUAAUACCGCAUGUGACAACGGGGCGGAUUCGCCCUGUUUUCAAAGGUGGGGACCGCAAGGCCUGCCGCUUCCAGAUUGGCCCGCGUCCUAUCAGCUAGUUGGCGGGGUAACGGCCCACCAAGGCGACGACGGGUAGCUGGUCUGAGAGGACGACCAGCCACACUGGAACUGAGACACGGUCCAGACACCUACGGGUGGCAGCAGUCGAGAAUCUUUCACAAUGGGGGAAACCCUGAUGGAGCGACGCCGCGUGGAGGAUGACGGUCUUCGGAUUGUAAACUCCUGUCAUGAAAGAACAAGCGGAGCGGGUGAACAGCCCGCCGAGUUGAUAGUAUUUCAAGAGGAAGGGACGGCUAACUUCGUGCCAGCCGCCGCAGUAA
rnacentral:rRNA from 1 species